rnacentral:rRNA from 1 species
UCAGGAUGAACGCUGGCGGCGUGCUUAACACAUGCAAGUCGAACGGUGAAGGAGAGCUUGCUCUCUGGAUCAGUGGCGAACGGGUGAGUAACACGUGAGCAAUCUGCCCCUGACUCUGGGAUAAGCGCUGGAAACGGCGUCUAAUACCGGAUACGAGCUGCGAAGGCAUCUUCAGCAGCUGGAAAGAACUUCGGUCAGGGAUGAGCUCGCGGCCUAUCAGCUAGUUGGUGAGGUAAUGGCUCACCAAGGCGUCGACGGGUAGCCGGCCUGAGAGGGUGACCGGCCACACUGGGACUGAGACACGGCCCAGACUCCUACGGGAGGCAGCAGUGGGGAAUAUUGCACAAUGGGCGCAAGCCUGAUGCAGCAACGCCGCGUGAGGGACGACGGCCUUCGGGUUGUAAACCUCUUUUAGCAAGGAAGAAGCGAAAGUGACGGUACUGC